UACCGAUAAAGUCACAAAAGACUUUCCCUUUUUAGAACAUAACCACUCGAUAAAAAAAGUUCAAGGACUUGAUCGAUGAAACAAGACGAAAGUACAUCAGGUUAAACACAACAUUAACAGUUAACCAUAAAAUAUCUACAACUUGUAUCACUCUAAAAACUUAAUAUACAGUUAAGGCGGGGCUGAGACGGGUUAGUUUGACCCGCAAUAACUUUUGGCAAUUAAAAAAGGUGAUAUUGCAUGUAGGGGCCAUCCAACUUACAGUACCUUUGUAUUAAGGUAACCCUUUGAAAUUGAUUUUUAGCCUACCCAAAUAGUGUUUGCAGUUAACCAUUAAAUUUAAAAUUGAUUUU